GACGAACGCUGGCGGCAGGCUUAACACAUGCAAGUCGAGCGAAGACUUCGGUCUUAGCGGCAGACGGGUGAGUAACGCGUGGGAAUCUACCCAUCCCUACGGAAUAGCUCCGGGAAACUGGAAUUAAUACCGUAUACGCCCUUCGGGGGAAAGAUUUAUCGGGGAUGGAUGAGCCCGCGUUGGAUUAGCUAGUUGGUGGGGUAAAAGCCUACCAAGGCGACGAUCCAUAGCUGGUCUGAGAGGAUGAUCAGCCACAUUGGGACUGAGACACGGCCCAAACUCCUACGGGAGGCAGCAGUGGGGAAUAUUGGACAAUGGGCGCAAGCCUGAUCCAGCCAUGCCGCGUGAGUGAUGAAGGCCCUAGGGUUGUAAAGCUCUUUCAACGGUGAAGAUAAUGACGGUAACCGUAGAAGAAG
rnacentral:rRNA from 1 species